AAUGCUGUUCCCAGUGUGACAACAAGCCCAUUGUUCUUUUUAUUUCAUUGCUAUUUAAUUACACAUGAUUCACAGUUGCAUAAUCAUGUAUUUGUGUAUAAAAAAAAUCGGUUGUGCAACCAGCAGCACCUGUCGUCAUACUAUGCAAGUAGCUUCUCAGCAACGGGCUUCGAAAACAACAGUGGAACAGUUUGUGCUUUGUUGAGGAACGAGAUUUAUGAAAGCUUCAUUUUGUCUGAAGUUGUUCAACCACUUAUCAAGUUCUCACAGUUGAGGAGCAACAAGUGCGAAGUCCUCUGAGCACCUGUUGCCCCCGGAGUCCAUUCAGUCCUCUAAACGCCGUUUGCACAUAAUACAAUCUGCGGCGAGUGCGGGCGGUCCUGUACCCUCGACAUGAAACAGGAUCACCUCCGUGGACUUUUACUUCUCUGAGAAAACUGGCGGUAUGCCUCCGAAGCCUGAUGACCACUUCCUGCCCCCUCUGGAUGGUUGGUGUGCUGGUGGGGCAUUGGUGGAAGUGAACUGUGCAUGAUGGAGGCGUGGGCAGGUAAAACGAUCACGCGGUUCUAACUUGCACCAUAAAGGCUCAGCACGGCGCCAGCAAUGUCCGGGUGGGAGCACUUCCUGUUCCCUGUCCUCGCUUCGAUUCAUUUAUUGCCCUCACUGCAUUGUCAUACUUAAGUAAUACAGCAGACAUGGU